UACGGAGGGUGCAAGCGUUGUCCGGAAUUAUUGGGCGUAAAGCGCGCGCAGGUGGUUUCUUAAGUCUGAUGUGAAAGCCCACGGCUCAACCGUGGAGGGUCAUUGGAAACUGGGGAACUUGAGUGCAGGAGAGAAGAGUGGAAUUCCACGUGUAGCGGUGAAAUGCGUAGAGAUGUGGAGGAACACCAGUGGCGAAGGCGACUCUUUGGCCUGUAACUGACACUGAGGCGCGAAAGCGUGGGGAGCAAACAGG
rnacentral:rRNA from 1 species